rnacentral:rRNA from 1 species
GUCAGAGGUGAAAUUCUUGGAUUUAUGAAAGAUUAACUUCUGCGAAAGCAUCUGCCAAGGAUGUUUUCAUUAAUCAAGAACGAAAGUUAGGGGAUCGAAGACGAUCAGAUACCGUCGUAGUCUUAACCAUAAACGAUGCCGACCAGCGAUUAGGAGACGUGAAUACAAAACACCACCAUCGGCGCGGUCGUCCCUGGCUCGUCGUCUCACGACGGCGGGCGGGGCGUUAGCCCCAGGCCCCGAAAUCUA